rnacentral:tRNA from 1 species
GUUUUAAUAAUUUAAUAAAAAUAUUGGUCUUGUAAAUCAAAAAUAAAAUACGUUUUUUAAAACU